AUUGAACGCUGGCGGCAUGCCUUACACAUGCAAGUCGAACGGUAACGCGGGGCAACCUGGCGACGAGUGGCGAACGGGUGAGUAAUGCAUCGGAACGUGCCCAGUAGUGGGGGAUAGCCCGGCGAAAGCCGGAUUAAUACCGCAUACGACCUACGGGUGAAAGGGGGGGAUCGCAAGACCUCUCGCUAUUGGAGCGGCCGAUGUCAGAUUAGGUAGUUGGUGGGGUAAAGGCCCACCAAGCCUUCGAUCUGUAGCUGGUCUGAGAGGACGACCAGCCACACUGGGACUGAGACGCGGCCCAGACUCCUACGGGAGGCAGCAGUGGGGAAUUUUGGACAAUGGGCGCAAGCCUGAUCCAGCCAUGCCGCGUGCGGGAAGAAGGCCUUCGGGUUGUAAACUGCUUUUGUACGGAGCGAAAAGGUCUCCUCUAAUACAGGGGGCUCAUGACGGUACCGUAAGAAUAAGCACCGGCUAACUACGUGCCAGCAGCCGCGGUAA
rnacentral:rRNA from 1 species